UGAGGAAUAUUGGUCAAUGGACGAGAGUCUGAACCAGCCAAGUAGCGUGAAGGAUGACUGCCCUAUGGGUUGUAAACUUCUUUUAUAUAGGAAUAAAGUUUUCCACGUGUGGAAUUUUGUAUGUACCAUAUGAAUAAGGAUCGGCUAACUCCGUGCCAGCAGCCGCGGUAAUACGGAGGAUCCGAGCGUUAUCCGGAUUUAUUGGGUUUAAAGGGAGCGUAGGUGGACAGUUAAGUCAGUUGUGAAAGUUUGCGGCUCAACCGUAAAAUUGCAGUUGAUACUGGCUGUCUUGAGUACAGUAGAGGUGGGCGGAAUUCGUGGUGUAGCGGUGAAAUGCUUAGAUAUCACGAAGAACUCCGAUUGCGAAGGCAGCUCACUGGACUGCAACUGACACUGAUGCUCGAAAGUGUGGGUAUCAAACAGG
rnacentral:rRNA from 1 species